AGUGAACGCUGGCGGUAUGCCUAACACAUGCAAGUCGAACGGCAGCACAGUAAGAGCUUGCUCUUACGGGUGGCGAGUGGCGGACGGGUGAGGAAUACAUCGGAAUCUACUUUUUCGUGGGGGAUAACGUAGGGAAACUUACGCUAAUACCGCAUACGACCUACGGGUGAAAGCAGGGGAUCUUCGGACCUUUCGCGAUUGAAUGAGCCGAUGUCGGAUUAGCUAGUUGGCGGGGUAAAGGCCCACCAAGGCGACGAUCCGUAGCUGGUCUGAGAGGAUGAUCAGCCACACUGUAAGUGAGACACGGUCCAGACUCCUACGGGAGGCAGCAGUGGGGAAUAUUGGACAAUGGGCGCAAGCCUGAUCCAGCCAUACCGCGUGGGUGAAGAAGGCCUUCGGGUUGUAAAGCCCUUUUGUUGGGAAAGAAAAGCAGCAGGUUAAUACCCCGCUGUUCUGACGGUACCCAAAGAAUAAGCACCGGCUAACUUCGUG
rnacentral:rRNA from 1 species